rnacentral:rRNA from 1 species
CACGGGGGGAGCAAGCGUUGUUCGGAAUCACUGGGCGUAAAGGGCGUGUAGGCGGCCAGGUAGGUGGGUUGUGAAAACUGGAGGCUCAACCUUCAGACGUCGACCCAAACCCCCUGGCUAGCAGUCCGGAAGAGGAGAGUGGAAUUCCUGGUGUAGCGGUGAAAUGCGUAGAGAUCGGGAGGAACACCAGUGGCGAAGGCGGCUACCU